CCUACGGGAGGCAGCAGUGGGGAAUCUUGCGCAAUGGGCGAAAGCCUGACGCAGCAACGCCGCGUGCGGGAAGAAGGCCUUCGGGUUGUAAACCGCUUUCAGCAGGAACGAAAAUGACGGUACCUGCAGAAGAAGGUGCGGCCAACUAUGUGCCAGCAGCCGCGGUGAUACAUAGGCACCAAGCGUUGUCCGGAUUUAUUGGGCGUAAAGAGCUCGUAGGCGGUUCAGUCAGUCGGGUGUGAAAACUCUGGGCUUAACCCAGAGCCUGCACCCGAUACUGCUGUGACUAGAGUUCGGUAGGGGAGCGGGGAAUUCCUGGUGUAGCGGUGAAAUGCGCAGAUAUCAGGAGGAACACCGAUGGCGAAGGCACCGCUCUGGGCCGAAACUGACGCUGAGGAGCGAAAGCAUGGGUAGCAAACAGGAUUAGAUACCCUGGUAGUCCAUGCGUAACGUUAGGUCGACUAGGUGUGGUUCGUACUACAACGAAUCCGCGCCGUCGCUACGCAUAGUGCCCGCCGUGGGAGGUACGGUCGCGAGAACGUAAACGUUAAAGGUAAGUUAGUUACGGCGUGAGACGUGCCGACGGCGACGACGAGGGGAGGUUAGG
rnacentral:rRNA from 1 species